AGUGAACGCUGGCGGCAGGCCUAAUACAUGCAAGUCGAACGGCAGCACGGCAGAGCUUGCUCUGUGGGUGGCGAGUGGCGGACGGGUGAGGAAUACAUGGGAAUCUGCCCAGUCGUGGGGGAUAACGUAGGGAAACUUACGCUAAUACCGCAUGCGCCCUUCGGGGAAAGCCGGGGACCUUCGGGCCUGGCGCGAUUGGAUGAGCCCAUGUCGGAUUAGCUAGUUGGCGGGGUAAUGGCCCACCAAGGCGACGAUCCGUAGCUGGUCUGAGAGGAUGAUCAGCCACACUGGAACUGAGACACGGUCCAGACUCCUACGGGAGGCAGCAGUAGGGAAUAUUGGACAAUGGGCGAAAGCCUGAUCCAGCCAUGCCGCGUGAGUGAAGAAGGCUUUCGGUUGUAAAGCUCUUCGGUUGGGAAGGAAAUUGCAUGGGCUAAUACCCUGUGUAGAUGACGGUACCUGGAGAAGAAGG
rnacentral:rRNA from 1 species